rnacentral:lncRNA from 1 species
GCAGGCAAAGCGCGUGCGAAGUGCAGGCAAAGCGCGUGUGAAAUGCAGGCAAAGCGCAGGCAAAGUGCACACUAAGGAUAAUCUAACUGCAGGCAAAGUGCAGGCAAAGUGCGUAUAAAGCAUGUGCAAACUGCACACAAAGUGCAGGCAAAGUGCAGGCAAAGUGUGUGUAAAGCAUGUGCAAAGUGCAGGCAAAGUGCAGGCAAAGUGCAGGCAAAGCGUGUGUAAAGCGUGUGCAAACUGCACAAAAAGCGCAGGCAAAGCACAGGCAAAGUGCAGGCUAAAUGCAGGCAAAGUGCGUGCAAAGCGCAGGCAAAGUGCAGGCAAAGUGCGUGUAAAGCGCAGGCAAAGUGCAGGCAAAGUGCACACUAAGGAUAUCCUAAGUGCAGGCAAAGCGCGUGCAAAGCGCAGGCUAAAUGCACAAAAAGCGCGUGCAAAGUGCAGGCAAAGGGUAUCCUAAGUGCAGGCAAAGUGCAGGCAAAGCGCAGGCAAAAAGUCUGCUAAGUGCAUGCAAAGGGUAUCCUAAGUGCAGGCAAAGUGCAGGGAAAG